UAAAAACCAAAUGAUGCACAGCAUCUAUAUCAUCUUUGAUAAUACCAAAUAGUCAUAACACCAAACGUAAACAGAAAACCAAAAAAAAAUCCAUAACAAAACCAUGUUUAUAAUAACAUGGCAUUUAUUUAAUUAAAUAUUUUUUAUUAAAACCUACUCAUACUCCUUUUCUUCAUUCUCCUUCUCUUUCCACCCUCCGCUUUUCAACACAGACCUCGGAGACCCACAGCAGCUCCCACCUUCCUUCACAAACUUGAGAUACACAAUCGAUUCUCCACCACCAAUUUCUUCAUAACUUUUUUCUUCCACCCCAUACCCUUCAAUCUCAAUUCCGCUUCCAAUUCCGUUUCCAAUUCCUCCACCAACAGCAAUCGAAAACUCACCAGGCUCAAAACAAUCCAACACCCUUCUCACAAGGCUUUCCAAUCCAAUCUCCUUCAAGUCAUACCCAACAGCCUCAAAGCUCGCGUAACUAAACCCAUCUUCCGGAGUCACAUGAAUAGUUGAAACAGCGGAAUCCUCAAUUCCAUUCAUGGAGUACCCACACGGGUCGAAUUCAAAGUCACAGAUUCCAGAGUUUGGGAGGAUCGAACGGAUACCGGAAUCGUUCGUCAUUGUUUCUGCAGAACUCCACUCGGUUUUGUAAAAGACAGAAGCUUUUUCACGGUCUAGAGUCGUCAUGCACAUCUCGAGCGUGUACAUGUCACCGGAAUCGGAAUCAGCAACACCGGAAUCAGAAUUGGCAAAAGCGGAAUAAACGUACCACUUGUUAGGCUUGUCAAAAGCACCCAUUGCAUAAGCUUUGCUUGAUAACCCGAGUUUCUCAAAAUGGGAAUCGAGAACUGAAACUUCUUCGGUGAAGCUUCUAUGUGGGAAAGAUUGAGCUCCGGGGAAUAUAAAACUGCCACGUGUAUAUCUCACUGAUCGGACAGUGAGAGAGAGUGUCGCCGCUAGCUUCAGAAUAGCUGGAAUCGACAACAAAAGCUUGGUGGUCCCACAUGUUUUGAUUACGAGUUUGUAUGGGAAAAUAAAAAGACUCGAUUCUGAGAGAACGUAAGAGUCAACAUGGUCGUUGGAGAGAGAAGACACGAUUGUGCAUUCAGCUGGGGUUAAAAUUUCAUCGAUUUGGGUCUUUGAGAGGACCCGAAGACCUUGACCAUUCGGGUCGGAAAAGAUGCUGGGCUCGAAGAAUGUUAGUUCGAGUCUUUUUUCGUAACCUUCAAAACCGAUUGCAGAAACUUGUUGCGCCAUUUGAGCAAGAAGAGGAGAAAGAUGAGAGAAGAAGAAAAGGGAAGAGGGUUUUUUUACUAAUUCUAAACUAAUUUGAAAGCAGUAAAAUUAAAAGCACGUCAAGUGACGUGAAGGGGAAAGCGAUUUAGGGAAUAUCAGGAUGGUUUGCGAGCGCACUGUAAAAAGAAAAGAAAAAUAUAAUUAGUAUUGAAUUCAUUGAUAGAGAAAAUGGAAUUGUAAUGGAUGGAAUGGAAUUUGGUAUUGUGCUUACGUUGGAGUAAGCAGCAGAUCUGAAUUUCUUGAUUCCUCCGUUUGGGCGAACGUCUUCAAUGCUGUAUCCUAGGGGAGCUUCAUAAAACGAUUUACUACUACUACUACUACUAGGCUUUUUCCCACCUUUGGUUUCCAU
rnacentral:lncRNA from 1 species